UGUUUGCUACUAAAUUUUCACCAUUUGAGAUUGUAUAUGGUUUUAAUCCAUUAACUCCUUUAGAUUUAUUACCUUUGCCUAUUGAUGAUCCAUUAACUCCUUUGGAUUUAUUACCUUUACCUAUUGAUGAGCGUGCUAGUUGUUGACAUAAAUUAUUCCUUAUUGAUUUUGAUGAUAACAAACAUGAUUAAGAUUGAUUAAUUGUUUUAAAAGCUCAACAUAAUUUUCAUCUAUUUUGACAAGUUUCAUAAAGUAUUUUUAUAAAGAUUUGGAGACAAAACAGUCAUCUUGCAAAAUAGUUCACUACAGCAGUUUUUGUGUAAAACGGCGAUCCGACAUCUGUAGUAAACGGCUCGCCGAUUUCAAGCAGAAAUGGAGAUUAGCCUCUGGACGAAAACGGCACACCGACAUUUGUGAUAAACGGCUCGCCGAUAUCAACCAGUAGCCUCUGGACCUAAACGGCGAUCCGAUAUGUUGAUAAAACGGCUCGCCGAUAUCAACCAGAACUGAAGGGUAGUCUCUGGACAUUAACGGCGAACCGACAUGUGUGAUAAACGGCUCGCCGAUAUCAACCAGUAGCCUCUGGACAUUAACGGCGAUCCGACAUCUAGAUAACGGCGAUCCGACAAUUUGAAAAAUCAGCCCAACGGUCAUAUUGACCAGUCAAACGGCGAUCCGACAUCUAGCUAACGGUGAUCCGACAGUGUGCAGAAAGUCAAUAACGGCUAGUUUUCAGCUGCAUCUAUAAAUAAGCUCAUUCAAAUUCAAACAAAGAUUGAUCACAACACGACCAUUGAGCAAAUAUUUGAGAAUACAAUCUUCAUAGAGCUUAAAACACAUUCUCUCUUCAUCUAUUCACAAAUUGGGCAUUGAUUUGUAAUCUUAAAUAUUGUGUGAGAGAAAAACAAUUUGUAAUCUUUUACUUUGAGUAAUUGUAAGUGUUGGGAUACACUUGGGUUAAGAGAUUGGGGAUAAUCUCUUGUUGUAAAGGUCCAUUGACACCUUGGAAGUCAAGUGUAAGCAUUUGAAGCCUUGGAGGCUUGCUUAGUGGAAUCCUCAAGCCCGGAAAGCUUGGAGGCGUGGACGUAGGCGAGGUUGGCCGAACCACGUAAAAAUCUCGGUGUUCGAAUCCCUCUUCCCUUAUCUUUUUAAAUUGUGAUCAUCUUAAUUGUUAUUGCUUUGAAUUUGAUUUAUAAUUGCAUUAAGAUUUUCUUUAAUAAAUUGAAUAAUUUUUUAGAAUCCCAAUUCACCCCCCCUCUUGGGUUGCAUACUUGUAUUUCAAUUGGUAUCAGAGCCUUGUUCUCUUGUUAAGACUUAAUCGUCUAGAGUAAAAGAUCCAUGGCAACCCUAAAUGACUCAACCUUUAGAGAAGGGCAAUCCACAACUAGACCACCAUUUUUUGAUGGUAAUGAUUAUGCUUAUUGGAAAACUAGAAUGAGAAUCUAUUUGCAAGCCUUAGAUUAUGAAAUUUGGGAAGUUGUUUGUGAUGGUCCAUUCAUGCCUAUGUUCAAAGAUGAAAUAGGAGAUGAUAUUCCUAAACCAUCGAGUCAAUGGAGUGAGUUAGAAAAGAGAAAGAUGUCUCUAAACUCCAAGGCUAUGAAUGCUUUGUUUUGUGCCCUUGAUAAGAAAGAAUUCCAUAGAGUAUCUAGUUGUGAAAGUGCACAAGAGAUAUGGCACAAACUUGAAGUUGUCUAUGAAGGGACA
rnacentral:lncRNA from 1 species